rnacentral:rRNA from 1 species
CCUACGGGAAGCAGUGGGGAAUAUUGGACAAUGGGCGAAAGCCUGAUCCAGCCAUGCCGCGUGUGUGAAGAAGGCCUUCGGGUUGUAAAGCACUUUCAGUGGGGAAGAAAGCCUUGGGGCUAAUACCCUCGAGGAAGGACAUCACCCACAGAAGAAGCACCGGCUAACUCCGUGCCAGCAGCCGCGGUAAUACGGAGGGUGCGAGCGUUAAUCGGAAUUACUGGGCGUAAAGCGCGCGUAGGCGGUCUGAUAAGCCGGUUGUGAAAGCCCCGGGCUCAACCUGGGAACGGCAUCCGGAACUGUCAGGCUAGAGUGCAGGAGAGGAAGGUAGAAUUCCCGGUGUAGCGGUGAAAUGCGUAGAGAUCGGGAGGAAUACCAGUGGCGAAGGCGGCCUUCUGGACUGACACUGACGCUGAGGUGCGAAAGCGUGGGUAGCAAACAGGAUUAGAUACCCGAGUAGUC